UGAUCGCAAUUCGUUAUUCGUUUUCCGCAUAUGCUAUUUUGUAAAAUCCCUACACAGUAAAUAUCAAUAAUAGCAAGCAAUGCAAUAAAAGUAUAAAAUGUUUCAUUAUUAAAGAAAAGCAGGAAUUUUAAAAACUUACCAUGUCUGAACAUAAUAAUGAUAUUGAAUACUUAAUAACAACACUUGGAACAUUUUUAAUAGUGGCAUUGGUUUGUUGUAUCUGCUGUUUUUGUAUGAAAAUCAGUGAUAUGAAACUGAGGAACUAUAUACUAGAGUUGGCAAAGAAGAGAAAUAUUAAUGUCGAUCUUGAGAAACUUAAACCAACCAAUACUACCUGCCAGUCUCCAUAUGCUAAUGAGAACUGUACAAUUGUCAUCCCUGAUGUCGCCAUAGUUCUAUAGAUCUGUAUGAGAAUCCAAGUAAUAUUAGCUAUAAGUUAGUAAAAUUAUGCUUACCAUGAUUACUAUAUGAUUGGCAUGUAAAAUUUUUGUGUUGCCAUGUAGAAAUUUGAUACCACUUUCUUGGAGAUCACAUUUUUGGCUGGGAAAAAAACUUUGUUAUCCUUAAAAAUAUAAUCCAAUUAGAACUCUUAAGUUAUAUAAAUGCCAAUUUGUACCUGUUCAAUGUAAUACUCAUUUUUUAUGUUAUACAUUUUUUUAUAUGAGGACUAGCCUUAAGUCAAAGGUAUGUUUUUUCUUUUUUAAGUAAAAUUCAAAUAUGGAUUUAAAUAGUUUCUUUGCUUAUACAAAACUAAAUAUAUUAUUUAAAUACAGUUGAUUUCACAUUUAACAAUGAUGAAGGGACCACUCUUAUUUCAUUGUUAUAUCCGGAGGUUGUUAUAGGCAAUGGUUGAAAUCAAGACAUACAUACAUAUACUUUAUAUUAAUUUAUUAUUGAAAACAUUUGCACUCAGCAGCAGCAGCACUCAUUUACUGGUGAAAAAUAACUCAGAAUAUCUCUUUGAAACUGAUCCAUAAAUUAAACUCCGAAACUUAAAUGUUUACCUACUUAGCUGAUAGCUAUCCAGAAAAAGUAGAGGUCUCCAUAGUUGCUGACCAUCUGUGUGAAUGUGUGAAUAAAACAAAAGAUAAGCAAUGUUUGUGAAGGAAUUAAAUCUUUGUGUCUGGUGGCUGACUCCAGUUGCAAAAUCUGCAUGGGAUUUUUAGGAAUUUGUUGCAAAUGUUUCAUUAAAAACAGUCGCAUCACUGGAACUUAAUGUUGUAAAAAUUUUGUACUUAAGUAUGCUUUAAAUGUCAGUCCACUAUGUAUUCCAAAUUCAAGAAAAAAUUGUGUGUGUGAUACUAAGUGAGUUAAUGUAUGUAAUGUGAUUGCUAUAUAAUGUGUACGGUUUUUCGUAUAUUGAUUCCUUGGUAGUAGAAAAAUGGUCUAAAAGUUGUCCAAAAACUGAAAAAAUCUUGAUGGUACUUGAGCGACGUCACUGUCCUUGUAUACGCACAAAAAUAGAAAACUCUUAUAUUUUUAUAAAACCAAAAGUUUGAAAAUUCUGUACUCGACGUGUAGAUAUUCCUAAGUUCCUAAAUUAUGUCCUAUUUAUAAUGUCAAUUUAUUCUUCCCUUUUAAAUCUUGGCAUCAUGAUAUCAUCAUGUGUUGUGCCUUAUUGUGGCCAAAAUUAAAAACAUGUAUAUUUCUACGAUCUGAAUGAAAAGCUAUUUUGUCUAACAUCUAAGAAAACUGUGUUAUUGUGAACCUAGCGUUUUUUCUAUACUUAUUAAGAAAAACGUUAGGACAUAGUUAUAGAUAUUUAGUGUAUCAAAUAACAAUGGCAUUUUUUGUACAGCUUAUUGGUGCCAAAUAUAAUGUAUUCAGACAUGUAAUACUAAUGCCACUUUUAGAGUGUAAUAAAAUUCUUAUAUUCUUAGUUAUAGUAGGGGAGCCCACGAUGCUAAACGGGGAUUUAUAGAUAAUAAGAUUUUUUUUAUAUAAUGUAGACAUAAGUUAAAAUAUGAUUUUUCAAAAAUGUUAAAAAAAACUGUGCCAUGUACAUCACAUACUCAAGCGCAGCGCUAUAAUAAUUGCAUGUAAUUAACUCACCUUACCUUAAUUUGACGCGCUCGAGAAUCUCUAGGUAUUAAUAUUUUUUUUACUAAUCUUAUCUCUUAUGCUUGACGGGCCGCCAUAUAUAUGGAGCUCAUAUUUGGUAGAGGUACUUAACCGGGUACAAGGCCUGUAUAUUAAUCUGCCACGCUAUACUAAAUCCCGGAAUCCCCGCUUGGGCUCCCCUACUAUAAACAUGGAAAUUAUAUGUAAAUGAACACUUUCAAAAGCAUUUUUUUUAUUUUUUAUUGUACAAUUAUUUUCAUACUAAGGAAAUACAACUAAUUUGUAACUCACACAAAAUGAUUAAUGGUUUUUAUUUAAAUAGUAAAACUAACUUCUAAAGUAGUUGUUUAAAUCGAUAGUACCUUAAUGUUCUAAGGUAGCCUUGAUUAAGUCUAAGCCUAAGCAAAAUAAGGUAAUACGCACACAUAUAAUAGGUAUUUGCUUCUCAAAAUGUUUGAAUACUAACCAAGGUAUUGUUUUAAUGUUAACAAUUUCUAUGACUGAUAUUAAUUUUAUAAGCUCUCUACAACUGUGUAUAUAAGUAUGUUUUUAUUGUAUCGCUACAAAGCUUGGCAAUAUUAAUAGAUUUGUAUUUUAUGCAUAUUUUCGCAACCCCAUCUAUAAAUAUUGGAAAGAAAUGUUAGGGUUGUAAAUAAAUACAUAAGAUAUUCAUGCGUCCAUGACAUUACAGAUUCUUAGUGGUUCAUGAGAAACUCCAUAAACAAUACUUUUCAACCAUAAUUGGUAGUCCACGUUUAAGACAGGGCAUUUUAUCCUUUGAUGGACGAUUCCUUCACAAAAAAUUCAAGAGAUUGCUUUGAAUGGUGCGUUGACCUGACAUGGAGGCUACAGUUUUAUUGGUAUUGCAUUCACAUUUUCAGGAACUUCGUUAUGACUAUUUAUGAAUGCCCUUGUAUUAUAUUCAUCAUCAUAUAAGGAGGAUAUUUUACACCCUAGGAGUCUCUUUAAUCUAAAAUGACAGAUAACUUCAACUCCAAAAACCAUUCAUUAAUCUGAAGUGCAUUGAUUCCAGCUAUAAUUCCAGUUACAGGUUGAAAUGUCCAUUAAAUUGCCAGAAGUUUUAAUGAGUACGGUCCCCUAUUGGAUUUCCUUGUUUUUUUGUUUGCGACAUACCUGUAAUGUAAUGGUAUCAAAUAUUUAUAUGAAUAAGUUUAUAGCGCCCCUGGUGGACUCGAGCAGAACUAAGUUUCUCAAAUAAAUAUUGUCAAAAAUGUUUAUGACAUUCAUAACUAUAUAAUAGUUUUAUUAUUCUAAAAGUAGUUCAUGAUCAAAUUAAGAAUCUCAAGAGCCUAAGGGCAAUAGAGCACUAACGACUAAGGAUCGCGGUCAAAAACAGCGCGCCUCAAAAUGGACGUUGAGGAAAUGCCAGUGCUUGUGUAUCUCGUAAGUAAGAAGGGAAAAAACAAAAGCAAAAAAUAUUUAAAAUUUGCGUCCAACCACGAGCCGCAAAUAUACGUCGCUUCGGGCCAUGUGCGCCUGUUCUAUGGCGAUUUCGUAAUAAUGUAUCUAUCUCGCUGGCCCCUAGUAUAUUGCCCUAGCUCAGCGUCACAAUCCGGCAAUUAGAAAAAUUAAUAUGUUAUUGAUAUAUUGACUGAUAGUGAUACUAGAAACCAAGCCUUGAGCAUUCUAAAAUUAAUUAUAUUGAGAAAAUAAUACUUGAGUCGAAAAUAAUACCUCAACGAAAAGGUAAAAAAACUCUAAAUAAAAUUCUAUUGUACUCAAUGCAUCUAUCUAUUAACAGAAUUAUUAGUUGCCAAGCUGUAGAUAUAGUUGUGUAUGUGUUCACGAUAUUUUUUAAAUAAACUAUU